GAGACGGUAGUCAACGAUGACAUUUGCCUUGCACGCAGAAAGUACCCCCUAGGUUCGUCUU
rnacentral:tRNA from 1 species